rnacentral:rRNA from 1 species
AUUCCUACGGGACGCCGCAGUGGGGCUUAUUGCGGUUUUGGGGAAACCCUGAUGCAGCAACGCCGCGUGAAGGAAGACGGUUUUCGGAUUGUAAACUUCUGUUCUUAGUGAGGAAAAAUGACGGUAGCUAAGGAGCAAGCCACGGCUAACUACGUGCCAGCAGCCGCGGUAAUACGUAGGUGGCAAACGUUGUCCGGAAUUACUGGGUGUAAAGGGAGCGCAGGCGGGAAGCCAAGUCAGCUGUGAAAACUACGGGCUUAACUUGUAGACUGCAGUUGAAACUGGUUUUCUUGAGUGAAGUAGAG